rnacentral:lncRNA from 1 species
UAACCCAGACCAUCCACAUCCAAGCUGAAGAGCAAACAAGACUCUUAUACAAGAGACCAGAAGCUUACAUGCUAUCAACAACCAAUGGAAAAAUGUCAUCUUGCCAGUAUAGGUACUAAAGUAACCAUAUAGACUCUGAUCAAGAGGUUAUGAUGUGGAGCAGAAGACUUAAUAUUCACCAAGUUGAGGAUACCAGAUAACUGUGUUGAUUAACAAUAUUUACCCCAACAAGUUUACAAGCCACAGGAAGAGCACUGUAACUAGUCAAGAAUUUUGAGCUAAAAGAAAUUCAUCAUGGAGCAAGGUCUAAAAAACCAUCCAUAACAGCCCCGUACCAGCUGACCAGUGGUACUAUCAGGGCUGGGAUGCUCUGAUUUGGCUGAAGUGAGCCUGAGGUACCUAGAUUUCCCUAGAUCAGGGUGACUGUGGCCCACAUAGAAGGAAAACUGCUUGGUACCACCUGGUAUCAAGUGUGGCUUGUUAAAGGGGCCUCGUUUUGUAGAACAACUCUGAGAGGGAGUAUAAGGUGGGAACUACAAGGCAUUGCACAUUUAGAGCUCCAAUCACUGAAUUUGGGUCCAGAAGCAAGCUUCUAGCUAGGCAGUGAUGUAUCUUUCACUCUUUUUCU